rnacentral:rRNA from 1 species
GCAUAUCAAUAAGCGGAGGAAAAGAAACCCAACAGGGGAUUGCCUCAGUAACGGCGAGUGAAGCGGCAAAAGCUCAAAUUUUAAAGCUUGGCACCUUCGGUGUCCGCGUUGUAAUUUUGUGAGGCAUCUCCGGGUAGGGCGCCGGCCUAAGUUCCUUGGAACAGGACGUCAUAGAGGGUGAGAAUCCCGUGCUUGGCUGGCUGUCCCCGUCCAUGUGAGGUGUCUUCGACGAGUCGAGUUGUUUGGGAAUGCAGCUCAAAAUGGGUGGUAAAUUUCAUCUAAAGCUAAAUAUUGGUGGGAGACCGAUAGCGCACAAGUAGAGUGAUCGAAAGAUGAAAAGCACUUUGAAAAUAGAGUUAAAAAGUACGUGAAAUUGUUGAAAGGGAAGCGCUUGAGACCAGACUUCGGUGGGGAGUGAUCAGCUGUCCUUCUGGGCGGUGCACUUGCUCCCCUCCGGGCCAGCAUCGGUUGGGACGGCGGGAUAAAGGUCCCGGGAAUGUGGCUCCUCUCGGGGAGUGUUAUAGCCCGGGUGAAUGCCGCCAGCCCCGACCGAGGACCGCGCCUUCGGGCUAGGAUGCUUGGCAUAAUGGUCUUCAGCGACCCGUCUUGAAACACGGACCAAGGAGUCUAACAUCUAUGCGAGUGUUUGGGUGUCAAACCCUUACGCGAAAUGAAAGUGAACGGAGGUGGGAACCCGCAAGGGUGCACCAUCGACCGGUCCCGAAGUCUUCUGAAGGAUCUGAGUAGGAGCAUAGCUGUUGGGACCCGAAAGAUGGUGAACUAUGCCUGAAUAGGGUGAAGCCAGAGGAAACUCUGGUGGAGGCUCGCAGCGGUUCUGACGUGCAAAUCGAUCGUCAAAUUUGGGGUAUAGGGCGAAAGACUAAUCG